AACUCUCAAACCGCAUCUUUAUUGAUGUCGGGCUUGGAUUUGGACGUUGCUGGACGCGAGUUCGGCUCGUCUCGAAUGUAUUAGCUGUAGAUUUCGAUUUCAGUUAAACCGUGUGAUAAUACAUCAACGCGGGCAGCCGUCAAGGCGCUGAAUCGUUAGUUCGAAGGCUUCUAAUCGUCCUUUCGAGGACCACCUUUACUGGUGUUUCAUUUCAC
rnacentral:misc_RNA from 1 species